rnacentral:rRNA from 1 species
GAUGAACGCUAGCUACAGGCUUAACACAUGCAAGUCGAGGGGUAACGAGAGGAAAGCUUGCUUUCCUUGUCGACGACCGGCGCACGGGUGAGUAACGCGUAUCCAACCUGCCCCCAACUAGGGAAUAACCUUGCGAAAGUAAGACUAAUACCCUAUAAUUUCCUCAGAUGUCAUCUGACGAGGAAUAAAGAUUUAUCGGUUGUGGAUGGGGAUGCGUCUGAUUAGCUUGUUGGCGGGGUAACGGCCCACCAAGGCAACGAUCAGUAGGGGUUCUGGGAAGAAGGUCCCCCACAUUGGAACUGAGACACGGACCAAACUCCUACGGGAGGCAGCAGUGAGGAAUAUUGGUCGAUGGGCGGAAGCCUGAACCAGCCAAGUAGCGUGCAGGAUGACGGCCCUAUGGGUUGUAAACUGCUUUUAUACAGGAAUAAAGUUAGCCACGUGUGGUUAUUUGUAGGUACUGUAUGAAUAAGGACCGGCUAAUUCCGUGCCAGCCGCCGCGGUAA